rnacentral:rRNA from 1 species
UACUCCUACGGGAGGCAGCAGUAGGGAAUCUUCCGCAAUGGACGAAAGUCUGACGGAGCAACGCCGCGUGAGUGAUGAAGGUUUUCGGAUCGUAAAGCUCUGUUGUUAAGGAAGAACAAGUACCGUUCGAAUAGGGCGGUACCUUGACGGUACCUAACCAGAAAGCCACGGCUAACUACGUGCCAGCAGCCGCGGUAAUA